rnacentral:lncRNA from 1 species
GGCUUCUUGGUACUAUUUACAUGUUGUGAAAAGUAUAUUCCUUGAUCCACCACAUAGUCCACCACAUAAAGCGGAGUAACCCAAGUGUUAGGACAUGGUUUGGUGCAAGUGCUCUUCUACCUCUUUGAAGCAUGUAUGUUAUGCCUAUCUCCAAAUGACUUGAAUUUUUUUGCAAGUACCUAGAUCUAAAUUAUGGCCCCACACAAGAUCUCUUGAAUUUCUAGCUAUCUAAGCUAUUAUUACAUUUUUCUCCGCGCC